AAUACCUGAUGAUCUGUCACUUUCUCCCUUCAAGCUCAGAUGGGACCGUCUUGUUGCAGGAAAACAAGCUUAACAUGCCCACUGAUUCUAUAUUAUGGUGAGUUCUAUGAUUAUUUCAUUAUAUAUGACAAUGUAAUAAUGGAAAAAAGUGCCUAAUAAAUGUAAUGUGCUUGAAUCUUUUGGCUCAGCUCCUGCCUCCUGGCAGCCUCUCCAGGUCCAGAACUUUCUCCAGUCGGCCUCUACGGGUCAAGCUCAUGGCUCACAAUGGCCUAUUUAGGCCCAUACCCUACCUCAUGACAGCCUCCACAGGCCCAGCUCCAUCAUUACAACGGCCUCUUGAGGCCCAGCUCCUGCCUCCCAGCCUUCUCUCCAGGCCCAGAACUUUCUCAAGUCGACCUCACCAGGCCCAGCUACUGCCUCUCAUCAGCCUCCCAAGGGCCAGCUUUUGCUUCACAGCCACCUUCCAAAACUCAGCUCCUGUUUUACAGUGGCCUUUUGAGACCCACCUUCUGUCUCCUGGCGGCCUGCCCAGCUCCUGCCUUCCGUCAGCCUCUCCAGGCCCAGCUGCUGCCUCCAGGUGGCCUCUACAGGCCAAACUCUUUCUCCUGGCUGUGUCUGGAGGCCCAACUCCUGCCUCACAACAACCUCUUUUGGCUCAGCUCCUGCCCAGCUCCUGGUGGCCUUUGUAGGCCCAAAACUGCCUCAGGUCAAGUUCUCCAGACCCACUUCUGCCUCCCAAUGGCUUGGACAGGCCCAGCUCCUGUGUGA